AACGUAGGUGGCAAGCGUUAUCCGGAAUUACUGGGCGUAAAGGGUGUGCAGGCGGGGAAGCAAGUGGUGUAUGAAAUAUCCCAGCUUAACUGGGAGGGGUUAUGCCAGACUGCUUUUCUAGAGGACGAGAGAGGGGGGUGGAAUUCCGGGUGUAGUGGUGAAAUGCGUAGAGAUCCGGAGGAACCCCAGAGGCGAAGGCGGCCCCCUGGCUCGUACCUGACGCUCAGCCACGAAAGACAUGGGGAGCGAACGGG
rnacentral:rRNA from 1 species